rnacentral:rRNA from 1 species
GACGAACGCUGGCGGCGUGCCUAAUACAUGCAAGUCGAACGCAGUGGGGACGGGUGAGUAACACGUGGGUAACCUCCCAUAAGAGGGGAUAACACGUGGCAACAGGUGCUAAGCCGAUACUGAUGGAUGAACCCGCGGUGCAUUAGCUGGUGGGUGAGGUAACGGCUCACCAAGGCCACGAUGCAUAGGUGACCUGAGAGGGUGAUCGUCCACGUUGGGACAUAGACACGGCCCAGACUCCGACGCAAGGCAGCCGUGGUGAAUGUUCGGCUAUGGACGUAGGUCGGGACGAGCAACGCCGGGUGAGUGAAGCAAGUGUUCGGAUCGUAAACCUCUGGUAUUGGAGCAGCGGUACCGAACCAGAACGCCACGGGUGACUACGUGCCAGCAGCCGCGGUAAUUC